rnacentral:rRNA from 1 species
UACGAGAGGCGCAAACGUUAUUCGGAUUUACUGGGCUUAAAGCGCGCGUAGGCGGCUUUGCAAGUCGGGUGUGAAAUCCCCAGGCUUAACCUGGGAAUUGCGCUUGAAACUAGGUCGCUAGAGUGUGGCAGAGGGGGGUGGAAUUCCACGUGUAGCAGUGAAAUGCGUAGAGAUGUGGAGGAACACCGAUGGCGAAGGCAGCCCCCUGGGUCAACACUGACGCUCAUGCACGAAAGCGUGGGGAGCAAACAGG